UCUGCCUCUUUUUGAGUGGCGAGUACAACACAGCAUAGGGAAAAUGGGGUUUUUGAAAAAUCUCCUCCCUGGAAUCAGUUUUUCAAAAGCAUCGUUUGUAGUGAUCUGAAACGCCAUUUUGGUGUGGAUGCGAGGCCAAAACGCAGAGAAAAUACUACAUUUAAUCAUCUGGCUACUUGAAACAAUCAGGAAAAUGUCUAGAGUUCAAAUAAUUGGUCUUUCUAAUCUUUGGCUUUUGCUCGGCCUAGACCACCACAAGACUAAAAAAGAGUUAAGGUCACGAGGUGCUGUUCCAUUGAAAUGUGGGCAUGUGAAUUAGGACCCCGUGUGCUGUCCAGACGGCUGUUUGCACAGCUGUCAGGGCUCCCUGCUCCCCCAGUGGACAUAACAGAAGUUGACAACACAGAGCUGUGUAAUCACCUGGACAAGCCUCAACUUUUAGAUCCAAAGGGCAGAGACCAUUGAAGAUGCCCACACAGCCAUGGUGGAGGCAUCACACAGCCUCCACAUGCUUGGUGCAUUAUCCAGGGUUUCCGACCUACAGGAAAGGGAUGACCUGGUCCAGGCGGCCCUAACCUUUUAUGUGAAGGGACGGUUGGAGAUGUCCCUGAAACAAUGGAGAUGCAGAAGAUGGUGGGGACCUCAUUGAAGUUACCUGGAGGAUGUGCUAGUGUUUGCUUCCAGGGCAUCCACCAUACCUGCUUUUGAUUUUAGAAAGAUUCCAACAAUCAGGUUUCUCCAUGACGACCUGAAUGGCAUCAGGUGGAUGUUCCCAGAAGCAAACACCUGCGCCAUUAUUUUGAAGCUGCCCGUAGGUCAUGACUAUGAGGACUUCUGUCACUUAUGACUUCGGGGAUCAUUAAGUCCCCGAUGUUUGGGGUAGCCUAAUGCAGCACCCCUUUCCGCCCCACCAACCACAUGAUAACGUGCUCUCGCUCGCUGUCACUCACUCCUGCGCUGCCUUCUGCCAAUCAGAGCACGGCUGAUUGCUCCCCCACCGGCCCACUCCUCUUGGAGGCAUGUCUUGUUUGAUAUUGUUGUAUUGAUUGUUUGUUAUAUUCAAAAAUUAAUUUGUUAAUGGUUAAUGUCUAUAAACAUUUAAAUGAUGACCUAAAACUUGACUGUCUGUUAUUCUUCCUACCAAAGACAAACUUCAGUCUAAUAUGAUAUUGGUUAACCCUUAUAUUAGUAUUGUAUACAUGACUUUAUGCCAUAGCUUUGGUCAGGUUUUAUAGGAUAUAACUGCAGUGGUGAAAGUAGAUUUGCCUUCUAACUGGUGAUGUCAAUCUGUUCGCUAGCAACAGAAUUCCAGUAAAACUGUCUAUACGCACAACACAGACUGCGUGAAUAACUGGAGCAAUAUGGAAUGAAGAUCAUGGACUUUAAAAACCACAUUCCCUGAAUGAUGGAAAAAUAUUGUUAAUGUCAUUUUCACAUUUCUGGAACAAACUGGUCUAAUUCACAGGAUUUAAAGAUUUAGUAUAGCAUAUAGUCUCUCUUAACAGCUGGUGGCAAUAAUGCUCUGGGGGAUAGUAACUCGCAAUAAAAAUGAUAUCAUCAGCGAAGCCCACAUGCUCUCCUCUUCCCAGUCUGCAAAUGGAUUUCUGUGGGGAAGUUAAAUCUGUGCAGGCAAAUUCAUAACCACAAAUAUCCGGAGACCUAAACCGAUUGCAUCUACGUUGCAUGGUGCCUUCAAUCUCUGUACCGAAAGGUUUCGCUAUGGAGUUAUUCCCGAGUGUAGCUAGGUGCUGGCCAUGUACAGGAGGAUCUACCUGGAGCCAAACGAACAGCAGUCUGUCAUCAGUGAUCCAGGACACAGUGAGGGCAUCCACCUUCAUUUCUCAGCUUUUGUAUCAUCCACCCCAACCAGUUUUGGGGAGUAGUAAAGUACAUGUAAUUAAACUAGUAGUUUAACUACAUUUUACAGUAGCUUACUGGUAUUUCAGUCACAUUCAUAUUUCUAUUGUGAUUCAAGUAGUUCAAUUACAUUUUGCCGUUUUUUUUUUUUUUUGUGUAGUUGACUACUAAAACCACAAACAAUUUUGGGACAUAAAAGGAAUGAUUUGUAAUUUAUAUUUGACCAUUGCUUCUCUACUGUAAUUGAACCCCCUUUGACCAGCCCCAUCAUCCAGACCAAUGUGAAGGCAUGCCCAGGCAAUGCAUUCGUCUGGUACCCACCACCAUACACUUAAGUAAUCCUGCUUGAUUCAAUACCCCCACCUGGACUCUAGUUUCUUGAAGACAGGUGUCUGACUGACAGACAUACAAAACCAAAACUGACAUUCCUUGCACUUUCCCAUAGUUGGGUAUUUUAGUUUUUUUGGUUUAUGUAUGACCUGCGAAAAAGUGGACACUUUGUGUGUGGCAUUUUUGCUGGCAUGUGACUUUUUUUGUUAUGUUUUGUUAUAAUUGUAUAUCAUAUGUACAUUGUCAAUUUGAUCAUUUUUUAAAGAAGUAGUUUGAACUACUUUUUGUAAGUAGCUUUAGUUAACAAAACUAAAUUUCUCCAUAGAGUAGGUUCAACUUCUUCCAUUAUGAAGUGGUUGGUAGCUUGCAAAGCUAUGCUAUCAAAGUAGCUUCCUCAACACUUACCCCAGCAUGCACCUAGGUGCAAACUACAGCGGGUCUUUAUAUAUACUGUAUAUUGUCCUCCAUCUACAAUUCAAAGUCUGCAAAAUGAUAUGUGCAUACAGCAAAAAUUCAUAAUGUUGUGCCAAUAGACCUAUAUUGGGGAUUUAUUCUUUACCAUUUUACUAUUGUGGAUUAGUCAUGUGAUUUGACUUGCAUAAUGUCUAGGAUCCACUUUGUAUGUUCUGUCUUUUUCUUUUCAUUUUUAUGUUUGGAUUGAGUUCUGUGACAUCAAUUAAAAGAAGAUAUUGGUUGAAAUUGUGUUGUAUUACUGCGCUUACGGAAAUGCAAAAGCCAACUGAGUUUUAGAUAGCCUGCUGUACAACAGGCUUAGAGCAUUGAUUACUGACUUCUUGAAUAUGUUUAAUGAUUGUGAGGAGCUAAUUUGUAGAUUGUUGUCUGAUAGAAUUUGAGUUUGAUUACUUUAGAUCCUUGUUUAUUUUGACGAGUAUUUUCAUUUCUUAAUUAUUUAUUUAGUUUAUUUUUCUUUUUAGUUUGUUUAGUUUAUUUUGAUUAGUUUAUUGUUUGUUUUGUUUUUGUAAGAGCAGGGUAACACUAUGGUUAAUAACAUAACUAUUUCAUGUUGUAUAAAUAGGUAGGCAGGAAUAGGACCAGCAUGCAUUGGAGGAGGGCCCAUGUUUUUUUUUUACCAGAGCAAGAGAGCCAGCAGGAGCAAGGAUUCUUUGUUCUUUUGUUUGCUUGCUUGCAUUGCAUAAAUA